AUCGCUUCUCGGCCUUUUGGCUAAGAUCAAAGUGUAGUAUCUGUUCUUAUCAGCUUAAUAUCUGAUACGUCCUCCAUUGGGGGACAUCGAUAUUAAACUGAUUUUUGGAUCUAGGCGAAGUGUCAGGGGCUUGCUCCGCCUUUGCCACGGGUUGACCCGGUAUUGCAGUACCUCCGGGACUGGCCCACUCCCA
rnacentral:snRNA from 1 species